UACGUAGGGACCGAGCGUUGUCCGGAAUCAUUGGGCGUAAAGAGCGUGUAGGCGGCUUUAACUUCUGCGUGAAAUCCUGCGGCUCAACCGCAGACGGUCGUGGGAAACUGGAAGGCUAGAGUGCGGGAGAGGAGAGUGGAAUUCCCGGUGUAGCGGUGAAAUGCGCAGAUAUCGGGAAGAACACCUAUGGCGAAGGCAGGCUCUCGGUCGGACUGU
rnacentral:rRNA from 1 species